AUUUGCACAUGGGCGAAAGCCUGAUGCAGCGACGCCGCGUGAGGGAUGACGGCCUUCGGGUUGUAAACCUCUUUCAGUAGGGAAGAAGCGAAAGUGACGGUACCUGCAGAAGAAGCGCCGGCUAACUACGUGCCAGCAGCCGCGGUAAUACGUAGGGCGCAAGCGUUAUCCGGAUUUAUUGGGCGUAAAGAGCUCGUAGGCGGUUUGUCGCGUCUGCCGUGAAAGUCCGAGGCUCAACCUCGGAUCUGCGGUGGGUACGGGCAGACUAGAGUGAUGUAGGGGAGACUGGAAUUCCUGGUGUAGCGGUGAAAUGCGCAGAUAUCAGGAGGAACACCGAUGGCGAAGGCAGGUCUCUGGGCAUCUACUGACGCUGAGGAGCGAAAGCAUGGGGAGCGAACAGGAUUAGAUACCCUGGUAGUCCAUGCCGUAAACGUUGGGCACUAGGUGUGGGGAACAUUCCACGUUUUCCGCGCCGUAGCUAACGCAUUAAGUGCCCCGCCUGGGGAGUACGGCCGCAAGGCUAAAACUCAAAGGAAUUGACGGGGGCCCGCACAAGCGGCGGAGCAUGCGGAUUAAUUCGAUGCAACGCGAAGAACCUUACCAAGGCUUGACAUGUUCCAGACCGCCUCAGAGAUGGGGUUUCCCUUCGGGGCUGGUUCACAGGUGGUGCAUGGUUGUCGUCAGCUCGUGUCGUGAGAUGUUGGGUUAAGUCCCGCAACGAGCGCAACCCUCGUUCCAUGUUGCCC
rnacentral:rRNA from 1 species